rnacentral:rRNA from 1 species
UACGUAGGGGGCAAGCGUUGUUCGGAAUUACUGGGCGUAAAGGGCGCGUAGGCGGACAGUUAAGUCAGAGGUGAAAGCCCAGGGCUCGACCCUGGAAUUGCCUUUGAUACUGGCUGUCUUGAGUGCGGGAGAGGUGUGUGGAACUCCGAGUGUAGAGGUGAAAUUCGUAGAUAUUCGGAAGAACACCAGUGGCGAAGGCGACACACUGGCCCGUAACUGACGCUGAGGCGCGAAAGCGUGGGGAGCAAACAGG